GGGUGAUAUGGCUGGGAUAAUUGUUAUGCAAUGACUACCAGAGUUCAUUCACUCAUAAGACUCUCUGGGAGUGGGCUCCCUCCCCCCUUCCUUACUGACCCAUGUGUGUUCCUUCCCAAAAGCUACAUAUCCUAUCAAAAAUGAUGACCUUUCUCAUAGAGGACCUUUGCUUCCCCUAGGGUAUAUGAGUAACUGUGUUCCCUGCUAGAACCUCCAAAAAAACUCUCAAAAGUAUUUCUAGGAUGAGGAUUAUGAUUCUAAAAUAUUCUUCAGUAAAAUUUGUUUGAUAGUUUUCUGU
rfam:Cricetulus griseus cell line CHO-K1, whole genome shotgun sequence.